rnacentral:lncRNA from 1 species
UUCAGGAAGCACACGAAGACUCAACAGCCCUCCCAAAGAGCCAGAGUGGUGUUUAACAUGAUGCCAGAGCACGGGAAGAGACCACAUCAGAGAAUAGCCAGUGGUAUCAUGGCUAAUCAGGAGGAGAUUGGAGGCCAUGGUAAGAAAGGGAUGAACUGAAGACCCAGCUCAGGAAGAAGUUUUCAAUAAAGGAAAGAAGUCUUGAAGCUGAGUGUGAUGACCCACAGCUUUAAUACCAGAACUCAGUAGACAGAAGAAGCAGGGGAAUUUCAAGUUUGAGGUCACUGAAUUCCAAGACAGCUUUGGCGAGAUAAAGAAGAUCUUUCCCCAAGAACCAAACACAAC